CCCUUUUUGCUACCCCUGAAGCUUACUGUUAGUGGUCGAGUUUUUCUGGAAGUGGGCUUCCGCGAUCGCGGGGACCAACGCCCUGAGCUCUUGUGCCCAAAGGGGAUCGCCAGGUUUUUUGAUGCGGAUCGAAAGGGACUGGCCCCGGAGCCUACAACCUGACGCAGGUGGACAAGGUGGAGGAGAGAGAAUUCCUUGGCAGUAGCAUUAUGAACAAAUGCAGGGCUGAGAAACAGCAUGGUGGCCUUGACUAAGUUUAUGGCGACAGCAGAUGGAGUCUUGCUCUGUCGCCCAGGCUAGAGUGCAGUGGCGCGAUCUCAGCUCACUGAAACCUCUGCCUCCCGGGUUCAAGUGAUUCUCCUGCCUCCGCCACGCGAUGCCUCUUCAUGGGUGGUGGAUGAAGAAACUGAACAGGGCCAUGAUCCUUAUCUGUAAUUUCCCGGCUACCACACUGCUUUGGUGGUCUUCCCUCGUCUCUUCCUGGGUAGAAACAACUACCUGGAGAUCCCAAUGUUCUUGUCAGUGCACUUUUCAUGGACUGCAGUGCCUACUUCAUACUGGGUGGAAUUUUUAUGAUUAGCGCCCUUCUCUCAUUCUGCUUGAACUUUUUGUUGCUGACCUUCCCUCAGUUAUUCCCUGAGACCCAGAAACAGUAUAUUUUCUGUGCAUCCAUCUGCAUUGUCACAGGAGCCCUCUACCUUCGCAAUUCCCGGUGCUGUGGAGCUGUCAGAGUUUUAACAUCUCAACCAAGCCACAUGGAUACUAUUUCCUCAGAAAAGACAAAAUUGAUCCAAGCAGAAGAGUGAACUCACCGAAGAGGACUCUCUACCCAUAACUGGGGAUGCCUCAGCCACUCACACUUACUCCAAGAUUAGUGUCACUGAUUAUGGAAAGAAUUGACUUCUUCCCCUGGUCUUGCUCAUUUUUCUAGAGCCCAGGACAAUAAAUGUGUUUUACGGCAGAGAAAA
rnacentral:lncRNA from 1 species